AUGUCGAUCAAUGCUUGAAUAGAAACGUAGUUCACACCCUCGAUUUUGACGUCAACACAGUUGCUACAGUCCCAUUAGUUUUCUUUGUAGCCUCGUUUGAAUGUUGCGGUUGCGCACAUUUGUACGGAAUGGGGUGAGUUUACGCUACAACCAGGCCUGCCUUGAGAACAGACUUGAUUUACACUAAUGCGAUGCUCCGCGCCAAACGGUCUGUGAUGGAAGACUCGAGAAAAUAAGCUGUCUGUUCUACUCAAGCUAUUUUAUUUUGUAUUUUCGUGGAAAAGUCGUCUAAAUAUUUUUGAGCAGCUGUUAGUGUAGGCAUGGAGGGUCUUCAAGAUGCAAUUGAACACCAGUUGCCUGAGUUGGAGACCGAGAUGGUGAGAUCUUUGUUGGAGCAUCUCAGGGCAAAUGUUGGAGUGGAGAAUAUUAACACCCUUGAAUAUGUUCAGCUGGAGGACAUGAAAUACCAUUUGACGCCAAUACAGUGCCGGGAAUUGCUUCAGUCCUUCAACCAAAGAGGUUCCUGGUUCGAAUAAACCCUGAAGGAACCAAAUGCACAGCGAAAGCAGGAGUGAGCUGCAAAACUGGAAAGGUCGUUCAGAGGAAGCCAUUGCCAAUUGGCCAAAAUGUUACACGCUUUCUCACAGACCUGAAGGAGUUUGAGGGGAAAAACUACAACAUUUGACAUAUCAGAGCUAAGGAGGAUCGGAGUUUCAAAAAUUGGGGUGAUACCCUGCACGCCACUGAGAUUUAUUCGAGACUUGUUUGCAUCUCUCAUUCUCUCAGAAAUCCUGCCAUGUGGGUUGGGUCAGCAAAUGAUCUGCUUGCUCCAUCCCGGAGCCUGUGUUGGCUUGAGGUAGCAUGCUACUCUGGCUCCAGUGUAGCCCUGCUCUCUCCUCUCUAUCCAUCCUUCUCUCUCAGCCCUUUCCUCUCUCGAUCUCUCUCGUUUCUCUCUAAGACAGGUAGGCAAGCAGUUCUUGUUAUAAUUUUUUUGUAAAAAUGUCUCACUGUUCAACUGUUUCCCUAUUUUUCAUUGAUCUGUUUAGAUUUUAUUUUUUUCUUACAUAAUCCUGUAUUGUCAAGAAUGGCCUAUUCUGAUGUCUUGGUCUGUGUAUGGUGAAGUACAUUAUUGACCAGUAUUUGGCAAUGUUCUUAUCAUUGUAUCUCUCUCUCUGUCUCUCUCUCUCCCCUACUAUCUGGAGAUGUAAAUGUUGUUCUUUGUGGUUAAAGUGCAAUUCAUGUGAAAUUCAUGUUAUGAAUUUGAAUAAAUAUAUAUCUUUGUA